rnacentral:rRNA from 1 species
AGAACGAACGCUGGCGGCAGGCCUAAUACAUGCAAGUCGAACGCACUCUUCGGAGUGAGUGGCAGACGGGUGAGUAACGCGUGGGAACCUUCCCAAUGGUACGGAAUAACUCCGGGAAACCGGUGCUAAUACCGUAUAAGCCCCUCGGGGGAAAGAUUUAUCGCCAUUGGAUGGGCCCGCGUCGGAUUAGCUAGUUGGUAAGGUAAUGGCUUACCAAGGCUACGAUCCGUAGCUGGUCUGAGAGGAUGAUCAGCCACACUGGGACUGAGACACGGCCCAGACUCCUACGGGAGCAGCAGUAGGGAAUCUGGACAAUGGGACAAGCCUGAUCCAGCCAUGCCGCGUGAGUGAAGAAGGCCGUUAAGGGUUGUAAAGUCUUACGUUUUGGCGGGUACGAAGUAAUGGACCGGUACCCGCAGAACUAAGCCCGGACUAACUCGCGCCA